GACGAACGUUGGCGGCGUGCUUAAUACAUGCAAGUCCACUGAAGCAGUGGUAGCAAUAUCGCUGUGGAGGUGGCGCACGGGUGAGUAACACGUAGGUAAUCUGCCUUCAGGUCUGGCAUAACUCCGGGAAACCGGGGCUAAUAGCAGAUGAUGCAGCGGCUCGACAUCGAGACAGUUGUUAAAGCUAUGGCGCCUGAAGAUGAGCCUGCGUCUGAUUAGCUAGUUGGCGGGGUAACGGCCCACCAAGGCAACGAUCAGUAGCUGGUCUGAGAGGAUGAUCAGCCACAGUGGAACUGAGACACGGUCCAGACUCCUACGGGAGGCAGCAGUAAGGAAUAUUGCUCAAUGGGAGAAAUCCUGAAGCAGCAACGCCGCGUGAGGGACGAAGGGCUUUUGCUUGUAAACCUCUGUAGUGAGAGAAAAAAAUCCCAAUCUUUGGGACAUGAUGGUAUCUCAAAAGUAAGCCCCGGCUAACUACGUG
rnacentral:rRNA from 1 species